rnacentral:tRNA from 1 species
CGGGGUGUAGCGCAGCCUGGAUAGCGCGCUGGGAGAGAACCCCAGAGGCCGCAGGUUCAAAUCCUGCCUCCCCGA